AGAGUUUGAUCAUGGCUCAGAUUGAACGCUGGCGGCAUGCUUUACACAUGCAAGUCGAACGGCAGCACAGGGAGCUUGCUCCCGGGUGGCGAGUGGCGCACGGGUGAGUAAUACAUCGGAACGUGUCCUGUUGUGGGGGAUAACUGCUCGAAAGGGUGGCUAAUACCGCAUGAGACCUGAGGGUGAAAGCGGGGGAUCGCAAGACCUCGCGCAAUUGGAGCGGCCGAUGCCCGAUUAGCUAGGUUGGUGAGGUAAAGGCUCACCAAGGCGACGGAUCGGUAGCUGGUCCUGAGAGGACGACCAGCCACGACUGGGACUGAGACACGGCCCAGACUCCGUACGGGAGCA
rnacentral:rRNA from 1 species